CAAAUCCUAUUAAAAUGAUGACAGAAAAUGUUUUUUAUAGAUGGCAUAGUUUGAUAAUAAUGCUUUGAGCUUAAAAUUAAAGAAAGUGCAAGCUGCAGUAUUCAUCAUGAGUCGUAAAGCUAAGUGUGUUGGACAUCAUCAUCUUCGAUGGGAGGAGAAAUAUAGAUACAAAGCAAAAAUAACGCUGGAUAGUAUUAAGUUGUCAAAUAUUAUAAACAUAUAAAUAUAAAUAUUUGUAUAACAAAAUGUAUAUAGCUCACAAAAAAUUGUGGUUUCUUCACUGGGAGUUCAUAUUCAAAAAUUAACGGUUCAUGCAAAAUAUGGUUGCAUAAUUUCGGGAGGCUUUUGUGGCCGUUAGGACCAAAAAUUGAACUGCUAUUUUGAAAAGUACCAGGCGAACAGAAAUGAGUAGCAGAAUAGAAAAGCUUGGUAUUUGGAACAUGUACUCAUGUAUACGUCUUAAAAUCUUCCCGAUUCACCCACUACUGCAAUGUUAUUCUGGGUUUCUCUUGCAAAUUACGAAAGGGAAGCAAAAAAUUACACCAAAAUUAGAUCGAGGGUAGUUUGCAAAUGUGCCAAUCUAUCUAUCAUCUUUAGGCCUGAACUAAAAUGGAUAUUCAAUAAUUUUUAGUUUUUAUUUGUUCCAAUCUUAUAUCCACAUGUGACGUUUCGAACUGCCUUCUUAUGUGCUAAAAAAUUCAAAAAUGUUCAUUUUGGCCAUGAAAUAUAUUUUCAAUUCAACCCAUCUCAAUUAAAAUCAACCAAAAUAAAUAAGCAAAAAGCUCAAUUUUGAUUGCUUGCCAUAAAUAAUCGAUCAUUGAUAUUGGCUAGGGGCUAGGGGCUGUCUGUAUAUACCGAUGUGUUUGUUUAUCAACAAAUAAAGCAGUAAAACAUAUUAAAACAAUUCGUGCAUCAUCGAGUAACCAGAACACUUUGAUUUAAACUUUAACUGGGCUUCCUUAUCAGCCAUGCGAAUCGGGUCUGAAUGAUGUCACAGUUUGUGGUAAUGUCCGCAAUUGAUUACAAAUAGAAUAUAUAUUUUCAUUCAAAUAUUAUACUUAAUAUAAAACAUUUAAUUUGCUCUUCUCAAAAAGCUGAUGUUUGACUUUAUCGGUCGGUGAUACAACCUUGAAUUAAUCCCUAUUCCCUAUGAUGAGUUAGAAUUAAAAUAUAUACUACACAUUAAAAUGAAUCUAUAAAUUUCUAUUAAUAUUGCUUUUUCCACAUUUUGUAAGUACAUUCAGUUAAUUCUAUUCAAAACCUUUAAAUAUUAGUCUAUUUAUCUUUUGGUUAUAUGUUUCUAUUCAAACAUUGAGUGCAGUCCAUGUAUUUGUAUGUCCUUAAAGACCUUAAUUAGUUCACU